GGGCCCGCACAAGCGGUGGAGUAUGUGGUUUAAUUCGAUGCAACGCGAAGAACCUUACCAGGGUUUGACAUCCUGCGAAUCUCUUGGAAACGAGAGAGUGCCUUCGGGAACGCAGUGACAGGUGGUGCAUGGCUGUCGUCAGCUCGUGUCGUGAGAUGUUGGGUUAAGUCCCGCAACGAGCGCAACCCACGUCUUUAGUUGCCAGCAUUUAGUUGGGCACUCUAGAGAGACUGCCGGUGCAAACCGUGAGGAAGGUGGGGACGACGUCAAAUCAUCACGGCCCUUACGUCCUGGGCUACACACGUGCUACAAUGCUACGGACAAAGGGCAGCAAGUUCGCGAGGACAAGCAAAUCCCAUAAACCGUGGCUCAGUUCAGAUCGUAGGCUGCAACUCGCCUACGUGAAGGCGGAAUCGCUAGUAAUCGCAGGUC
rnacentral:rRNA from 1 species